ensembl:lincRNA
ACACUCCAGAGACCAGGCCAAGCAUGCCAGGGCGGGCAGCCGAGGUGCGCCAGGGCCCUGGUGCAGAGUCCCAGGGACAGGACAGGACAGGACAGGACAGGACAGGACAAGUGGGCAAGAACGCUGGCAGGCCGAAGCAGAGUCUGGUGGGCAACAACAGUUUGCUCACUGGAUUCCAGAGCCCUGCAGGAGGGAAAUGACAAGGGACUGAGGUGCCAGCCCAGAGCGGUGCUUUCCCUGUGCCCAUUCGGUCCAGUACAUCGCCCUGAACUGGGCAGCGCAGGUCCUGGGGUGCAGCCCAGCGAGAGCCGCAGACCAGCAUGGAGGCCUGCAGGAGCGCCGCCAACAAGAGACGCCAUCCUCCAGCACGGUGGCGGACUGGAAAGAGCUGGUGAUGAUGAGCAAAAAGGAACUGUUUGUCCUGGCGUAGUCUGAUGACAGCCGCCAUUCCACCUUGAAGUAACUCGUCCAGGCUCAGAAGAUAAGCUAGGCUGGAGCAGUGCACGGGAUGGGGUUGUGUCUAAGGGGAACUUCGAGUUGUUAAUGGACCAGCAAGUGAGACUUUUCCGCACAAAUUCCAAAGCGAGGGCCCUUGUGUGGUGACAGAGGAGGGGAUGACCCUGUUCAAAAUGCAGAGAUGCAGUUGUCUCCUUCAGAUCACUCCACAGGACGCUGACUGACCUUCAAGUGAUGAUCAAACUCUGUCCUUGUAUUCAAGUACCGGUGUUGCAAAUCCAAUACUGCCUAGCAAGGAAUUAUUAUUACUAUUCAGAGUGUUGUUGUACUUGAGAGAUAAAUAAAAAAUACAAAAUCAACCAGAUAUGUUAGUGAGAAUGAGAUCUGUAAUACAGGUGACUGAAAUUGAAACCUGAAGUGGUUUUUGGAGUAAAUCCUACAAUGUAAAUUUCAUUCAAAUAAAUACUUAAAUAUUUAUUAACGGGGGCAUUUCAAGGUAAAAUGAAAGCUUUUUACCAUCUGCUCUAAACAUUACACAUUUGAAAUUGAGGACAUGAUAUAUGCAAACUGGAUUUAAUUUUCAAAUUGUGUAACAUAUACAUUAACAGUAAAGCAGCCUAUUAAGUUUUAAAUAAUUUCUUUUCUGUGAGCAAAAAAGGAAAACUAAGAUAAUUGCAUGGUUGCCUGGCAACUCCACAUCAAGCAUUGUCAGUUUUUUCAUCAGCUUUGUAAACCCUUUUUUUUUAAGUGCAGCAGUGACUUCAGAACAAAUUUCAUGUCAAGAAAAUCCAUUAUACUUGUGCGGCAGUCUCUUCUUGAGAAGAGCUUUUCCAGAGGUAGUUAAUUAACUUUUUUGGCUUUUAUCUUUUUUUCACAAGUCACUUCAGAAAUAUGUAUUAUAUUUUCAUUUUAUGUGGUCUAUUUCCAAUUUCAGCUUGAGCUUCAAGAGAAAAGUAAAUUUGUGUUUGUGAUUAACAUGUUUAAAGAAUUAAAUGCUCUUUGUUUGAAUCUCAAACAAGAAUUUAGUGCUUAAUGAUUUCCAGAAAUCAAUUUAUGAUAAAAUAUAGCUGUAUUUUACUUGUAUUUACAACUCUUUUGUGUUUUAUUCUUGUUUUGUAACACCACUUCGUGUAUUUGAAUGAAAGCUCAAGAGAGAUUAAAAC